GUACUCACUUCGGCGGUACAUAUACUAAAAUUGGAACGACACAGAGAAGAUUAGUAUGGCCCCUGCGCAAGGAUGACACGCAAAAUCGUGAAGCGUUCCACAUUUUU
rnacentral:snRNA from 1 species